CAAUUCGUAUCUAAAUUAUUUUCAAUUAGAUAUGGCACAAGUUUUAGCAUCCAAUUAAUAUUCAUAUUUAUAUUUAUAUUUGUCAAGUUAAAAUGGAUAUUGGAUAUGGAAACACUGAUUUUGAUCCAUUUUCAGCUCUAUUACACCUCGUUCACUUCAUUAGUAAGGGCUGCAAUUCCACCAAUUUAAUACUCACACUGCCGGUACUUUGUAUAUAUAUUCACAUAUACUAAGGUUCCCCUAGAC
rnacentral:lncRNA from 1 species